rnacentral:rRNA from 1 species
UCAUAGUAUUCCAAAACAAUAACCAAACAAAAAAAUCAACUAAACAAAAAUAAAAUAAAUAAUCGAAGAACUUCUUCGCAGAAGAAUCGGCAUCGAAAGCAGAUUUCCAACCCCCGUAUGUAUGGAUGUAUGUAUGUGUAAAUGUAUGCCUG